rnacentral:rRNA from 1 species
CAGCAGCCGCGGUAAUACGUAGGUGGCAAGCGUUGUCCGGAAUUAUUGGGCGUAAAGGGCUCGCAGGCGGUUUCUUAAGUCUGAUGUGAAAGCCCCCGGCUCAACCGGGGAGGGUCAUUGGAAACUGGGAAACUUGAGUGCAGAAGAGGAGAGUGGAAUUCCACGUGUAGCGGUGAAAUGCGUAGAGAUGUGGAGGAACACCAGUGGCGAAGGCGACUCUCUGGUCUGUAACUGACGCUGAGGAACGAAAGCGUGGGGAGCGAACAGGAUUAGAUACCCGUGUAGUCCCUGUCUCUUAUAC